GACAGAGGGUGCAAACGUUGUUCGGAAUUACUGGGCGUAAAGCGCGCGCAGGCGGUCUUCCAAGUCAGUGGUGAAAGCCCGGAGCUCAACUCCGGAACUGCCAUUGAAACUGUGAGACUGGAGUACGAGAGAGGUGAGUGGAAUUCCCAGUGUAGAGGUGAAAUUCGUAGAUAUCGGGAAGAACACCCGUGGCGAAGGCGGCUCUCUGGGACGGUACUGACGCUGAGACGCGAAAGCGUGGGGAGCGAACAGG
rnacentral:rRNA from 1 species